UUGUCGACUCGUCAUUAGCCCACGCAGGGAGGUUCCACUGUUCGAGUGUCAUAUUGCUGGCCUCUGCAGGCUUUCAAGGGCCAUCCGCCUCACUUUUCUCUCACCGUAUCCGCUUCGCCCUCGCCGUCCUCUCUUCCUCGUCUCGCCCGUUCGGAAACUGCAGCAUGUAGAUCGCCCGUCCUCCGUGCCUACCACGCGAUCCGCGCCGUCGGCGGUGGCCGGUGCUGCUCCAUGGCGGCCCUUUGUCGCGGGUUCGGUUGAGGUCGUCGCUGUGCUGGGAUUUCCGUGUCGGUUGGCCGCGGCUGCUCUUGCUGGUCUGCUGUCUGCUUGUGUUCUUGGCUAGCUGCUGCUGUGGGUUGGCUGUCGUGCGUGUCUUCCUGUCAGAUAAAUCUCUUUGCCUAUUUCAGAUCCCCGCAUGUUCAGCUAUUUUUUUGCAUUUGUUGCCUGUUCUAUUUAAUGGCAUGUUAAACCUGAUCCAUUUUUCUAGCCAGUAGUGCUUUCGUUAUUGCUCUAAAUUUUCAAUUUGGUACCCUUGUAUUUUUCAUCCAAACUUUGUGAGGUGUAAAUCAUUUCUGAACUCGAAAAGCACCGGUACGCUUGUUGUAUGCUUUUUCUCCUGCUUAGUUUUGUUCUUAUUUGGUUACAUUUCAUUGCCGAUAAGAAAAUGUCUUCUUCCUCGUGUUUGUUCUUGCUGCUGAGAAGAGAUGCUUAGUCAAUAAUAGACAUAGAAAGUGAGAUCUACCUGUUGGUUGUGCUGGGUUAAUUCUUUCGUCUAUUUCGGUUGUGGACCAUGAUGCCCGCUCGCUGCUGUUUCUCCUUGCAUUUGGUUCUUUAUGUGUAAAUGAGGUUAGUUUGAUUUUGUAUAUAUGGAUUGUCUUAGCUUUCCAUUGUAUUUGUUGUGUUGUCUUACCUUUGCUCUUGCCUGCAUGCAGUUUUUCACUUAAUGUCUGCAUUUACUGUUUGUUUCAGGAUAUCUGCUGCCGUAAUUUCUUGUCUAUCAGGCUGUGACCUCUCUGCCUGUUCUAUAUCAGUGCAUAGUUAGCUCUUUCUUACACACUCUUUAUUGUUGUUCGUGACUGUGGAUAGCAUAUUCCUAAUAAGAGUGCCCUCUGGGGUUUUCCCUAUCUUGGUGUGUGUCCCCUUCUUGCGCUUAGUUGGUUGCUUCCCACUGUCGGUUGUCAUACCAUUCCUACCUGCGUGAGGUGGGCGCUGAUGGUUCCAUCCUUGGAGCGUGGAGCUUGAGAUCGCUGCUGUCCAGGAGGGAGCCGCGCCCACCCGGUUGGUUCUGAAGCGAUGUUUCUCCAGACAUCGCACUCUGUCUCCAAGCCUCCUGGACCUAGCGACGUAACAGUGUGCCUCUUUCACAUGUGAAGGAAGAAGGCCCUGUUCACUCAAAUAUCGCCUGGCCAUGGGUUAAAAGCUGCAGCAUAGUUUUCCCCUCAAAUUCAGACUGAAGAGGUUGAAUUACACUUGCUUCCUGCUCCGGAUUCUAUGUCUGCCAAGUUUGCUGCUCCUACAACUGACAAAACUUCAACCAAAUUGGGUGUAGCCUACAACUAUGUGACUUGUUUGUUGUCAGCUGGUUAUUUUGUGAGGUUCGGUGUUGAAAUUCUAUGCCUGGAACAAUAUAAGCCGCAAUCAGAAAGUUGAGGAGGAGAGAGGUGAACCGUGCAUGGCUCUGCCAGGAAGACUUUGUCAACUCCUGUCUCGAUGCCGUUAUUUCUAUCUAUGAAAAAGACCUUGCUUGCAUAUCUGUGUUUUGUUUUUCUUUGUGUCCUAAUUAGGUUUACCUUUCCUUGGUACAGUGAUCUCUAAUGACUAUGUUGUGAAAAUGCCCAGCUUAUAUUGAUGAUGACGUUGGUGUUCCUUCUUUGCUUUUGUUGCUAUCGAUCGAAUCAACGAAUGUUAGCUGCUACAAUAUAUUCCCUCGUGUUUCCUGGUUUGAAAAUGCCUAGCUUAUAUUGAUGAUGAUUUUGGUGUUUCUUCUUUGCUUUUGCUUCGAUCGACUCAAUGAAUGUUAGGUGCUACAAUAUAUUCCCUCAUGUUUCCUGGUUUGUUACUCUGUUUGUAAUUUUGUGUGGUUCACUAGGUUUUGUAAAACCUAAGAAAAUAUUAUCAUUUUCCCGCAUAUACAAGAGUUUCAUGGGGUCGUGCGCCAAUGCGCACCAUUGGCGCACCAUUCAUUGACCAAGCACUGAGGUUCCUAUUUCUAUUUUAGGUCCGAAAAAAAGAGUUGUUCUAGAUCUAAAACUAUUAAAAGAGCUAUGCAUGGUACUGUACCUAUUUCUCCUAGCAGUGUGUUCCAGGGAGAGUUGACAGCACACCACAAACUAAGGCCGUACAAGCAACUGCACAAUAGAGUAUGAUAUGCAAGAAUCUGGUCAAGCACCUCAAAGCCCGCGAGUGGCAUUUGACAACUGAAGGUGUUAAUUAUCGUGAUAUUCCCAUGCCCUUGCGGCUUAUGCCACUAGGCAGACUGAUCUUGAUGAUGUUCGUGUUAUGGUGUCCAGCGAGUUAGCUAUGCCUGUUAAUGGAAUAGAUUUGUUCCAGGUCAAAAGAAAACAACUAGCUAGCUUAAAUAUGUUCCCUGAAAAAAAGAGCUAGCUUAAAUAUGCCCUGUUAGGAUAAGUUGAUGAUUUUACCUAAACUUAAAUCUAUUAUUAUUGUAAGCACUAUUUUGGAGAAAUGUCUUUACUCAAAUAGUUUUUCAUGCAUUGUUAAUUU